rnacentral:lncRNA from 1 species
CUAACAAUAAGUACUCGGCUUAUGGGCCGAACACUUCCGAACUUACCCGAGUCUCGAAACGAUGGAUACGCGUGGCGAUGACGCAAGGAUACCUGUGUGCGUACCUGAGGAACGGACGCGACCUCUCGCUAUUGCGUAAAAUGCGUGGGAGGAUGAAAAUUUCCCCUCCUUCCAACAAGCCUUAGUCUAGUCGGAAUGUUCAUUUGAAAUUGAAUUUUUUUUUUACGCCACCAUUGUCUUUUUCUAAUCGUGGUGAAGGCAUUGGUGAACUAGUUCUAAAAUUUUGAUCAGAUUCUGCGGUAGCUUCGGCCGCCAUUUUGAAUUUAUGGGAGAAUUUUUUUUUUUUUUUUUAUCCAAUAAAUUGCCCAUUUUCAACUCUUGAUUGAAAAUGAUCGUAACUAAAUAUGGAUAUAACUAAAUUAAUUUUAACCUUCUACUACUUUGGUCCUUAUAAUUUUUUGACGCUGUCCAUAUUUUCUGAGUUAAAUCAUAAAUUCAAUAUGGCGGCCGAAGAUACUUCAGAAUGUGGUCUAUAUACCAAAGAAAAUAGUGGUAUCGAAAAAAGAAGGAAAAGUUACUUGACAAAACGAGUGAUUUUUUUCACUUCCAAUUCGUUUGAACGAAAUAACCUAUCGAUUCAAGCAACUGCGUAUGAGUUGGGACAACAGUCUCUGUGCAUCAAUUCAAAUUUUACAUAUUUUCGAGUGAUGUGUAUUUCGAGGAAAUGAGUGUUUUCUUUCAUGGGAUUGAGCUACCAUUGUUCGAAUCGAGAAGUUAAAAAUUGCAAUAAUAAUCGCUCAUUGGCAGAUAUACUUGUGUGAUGGCCAAAUCAUGUAUUUAGUUUCAUGCGAUGUCCAUCACUUAAAGUCAAUAAUUAUUUGAACAGAAGAAAUGCAAACUCUGCGGAAACAUUCAUACAUCUGGCGGACAAGAUUUUAACUUUAAUAAAAAAAAAAUCCUUCUCCAAUAUAAAGCUCUGUUUCAGUCAAAUAACAGAUGAACAGAAUUAAAUACGCAUUUCAUUGUUGCGAGCAAAGAUGUGUGGUUAACGAUCAUAAAUAAGGUCUUGAAGCCAAGUUUGAAAUCUGGCGAUUAAAUACAUGACACAUAUUCCUAACAAGCUAUACUAUCUGAUUUGGCGAAACGAAUAUUACUUCACUGAAACAAAUUUUGACUGGUUCGAUAGUCUUCCCAUUCUUUGAUGUGCAUGUUUCGUGUUCUUCAACCGAAAUGAUAAUUCAUUCGAAGUGGUACCAAUUUUGGCCGCUAGACGGCAAGCUCUCUGAAUUGAAAAGUAACGUCAAAGAUGGUUAUACCCGAGCUCCUCGGCUACAACAAGUCAGUUUGGUACAGUACUGCCAAGUACGAACAGCGUGGUGUCGGUGGAUAUAGUUACUUCUAAACGAUUUUCUGUUGAUGACAUCACUCUUAUUUGAAAUCAGACAAUAACAAUAGUUUAUCGUGUGCACUACAUCAUUUAAAUGCACUUACAAAUUGGAUAAACUCCGUAUACUUGAGCGAUGCCAAGAAAAGCGUAUACGUAAGCAGGA